CUUUGUUAAAGGGAAUCCUAGUAAAGUGGGCCGAAUCUGUGCUUCCCAGUGACGACGGGGACGAGGUUCUGUUUUCUAAACGCCGUGGCCAGCACUCUGUGUCAUUCAGGGGGUCCUGAGGAGGCGCUGUUGGUCCGCCCAGGGUCCAGCUCCGUGUUGAGCAGAGAGAGACACGUUGGACCAUCAACCUUCUUUCUCCCUCCAACGUGCCCGCCCGCUUCUCGUCCCGCUCUGCCCCCUGCACGGGUCCAAAUCUGCCGCCAGGCAUUUUCAUUUUUAAGGGUGGACUUUCUUGAGUGGGAGCCCUCAAGCAUUUUUAAACAGCUCUGAGCAGGACCCAGCUCUGCCAGCCUUUGAGGACACAAGGCUUCAUAAGACACAGAUGUGUGUGUUUCCAGUGAAGGAGGCAGGCAUGGAAAGAAAAACUGGUGAUAUCAAGUCAUAAAUGCUAAACAGCCCGUGAAGGGACCCAGAGGAAGUGCUAAUUACCUGUCUAGGAGCAGAAGAGAUGUUCCGGGAGACUCUGGCUGAACCCCGGGGCACACCCACUGGGGCACACCCAUCAUGUUCCUGGCAAGCGUCGCAGGCCGGAGUGCUUCGCUACCUGGCUCUUAGCUGCUGCUGGCACAGAACCAGGACAGGAUGGCUCAGUCCCUGCGAGGACUCCACGCUGCCCGGAACGGGCAAGACACCUCAAGCGGGUGCCCUGCUGUCACCGGCAGGAUCCGAGGCAAAGAUUUAGUCACUGAAACUUGGCAGCUCCAGGGCUGGGGCAGAGUAUUUUUCAGGCUGAUGUUCAGGGCGGAUCUCUCUACUUGCAGAUGAAAUCAGUGAGAUAAUGAAUGUGAAAACACUGUGAAAAGCCACCAAACUUCUGGUACCCCAUCCUGCUGCUGUUCCCUCUUCUGUUCCGGGGCCACCAUUCCCCCAAGCUUCUUUGAUUCCUCUCCUCCUUCUGUUGCCCUCGCCUCACAAUGUGGAACUUUGUUGACGCGAUUUCUGAGAGGUCGUUCACAUUCAUCCCCCUCGAUGUCAUUUCUGCUGUCCCUGCCCUGGUCCAGGCCCUGGAUUUCUUGCUUAUACUAGAGUGAUAAAGUUUAUCUGUUCUACUUCCUCUUUCUCCUUUUGAAUUAUCAGCCCCGCUGCUACCAGACCAUCUUGUCAACUCAGACCAUAUUCCUGAUUAUUUUACUCUCGUCCAAAACGUUCAAAGGCGGCCAGUGGCCUACAGAGUGAUAAACUCUGAGGUCCAGUGUUCAAACCUCCCGGCUGGCCCACUUCCCUACGUUUGUAGAGAUCGUCCAGCUUUUUGCUGUUCAUGCUUUCACCCGAGCCCUGCAAUCUGCCUGGAAUGCCAUCACUUUCAAAAACCUCCUGACAAGGUUUUUUUUUUUUUUUUUUUUUUUCCCUCCAUUAUUCAAGGUGCAAAGAGGGUGGUAGAUAAAUCAUGUACGGGAUAAGAAAGGUGGGAAUGAUUAUACUUUAGAUGCAUCGAAGAAUUUUUUUUUUUUUUUUACCGAUCUCAUUAAUGGAUUCAUUUUGUGCAGGACACUGUGCUGUGGAUGGGGGUGGAAAGGUUCACCGUGUAUGCACUUGGGCAAAGGCAUCUAGAGCUAUGAGGACUAAGGAUACAUUUUCUCUUUUGCUUCCUCAGACAAAGCCACUCGUGCAAACUCCAGCACUCGUGCAAAAAUAUCUGUGGGGUGGCGGUAUCCCUUUUUGCUCUGGCUACUAGGAAGCCCAAAGGCAAAUUUCACUCCCAAUCACAGUAUUCAUUGGCUUAUUCAAAAAUUCACACAUAACAGGUGCCAAGUAGGUAUUCAGAGCUAUGUUAGAUCCAACUACAGGGAGCAAGGCAAUACACAUAACUUCUGCCCCCAGGAGGCCACUGUUCAUUCUUACAGUUAGCACAUCUUCAUCUCUGUUUCCUCUCGUCCUGAUUUGGGAGUUUGUUGAGUCUCUCUUUAGUUUUAUGUGAGCUGAAAUUAUUUUCGGAAGAGGACAAGUACAGUCAGUAUAUAAAAGUAAAACUGUUCCAACGCU